rnacentral:rRNA from 1 species
GCAAGUCGAACGGUGAAGCAGGAGCUUGCUCUUGUGGAUCAGUGGCGAACGGGUGAGUAACACGUGAGCAACCUGCCCCGGACUCUGGGAUAAGCGCUGGAAACGGCGUCUAAUACUGGAUAUGAGACGUGACCGCAUGGUCAACGUUUGGAAAGAUUUUUCGGUCUGGGAUGGGCUCGCGGCCUAUCAGCUUGUUGGUGAGGUAAUGGCUCACCAAGGCGUCGACGGGUAGCCGGCCUGAGAGGGUGACCGGCCACACUGGGACUGAGACACGGCCCAGACUCCUACGGGAGGCAGCAGUGGGGAAUAUUGCACAAUGGGCGAAAGCCUGAUGCAGCAACGCCGCGUGAGGGAUGACGGCCUUCGGGUUGUAAACCUCUUUUAGCAGGGAAGAAGCGAGAGUGACGGUACCUGCAGAAAAAGCGCCGGCUAACUACGUGCCAGCAGCCGCGGUAAUACGUAGGGCGCAAGCGUUAUCCGGAAUUAUUGGGCGUAAAGAGCUCGUAGGCGGUCUGUCGCGUCUGCUGUGAAAUCUGGAGGCUCAACCUCCAGCCUGCAGUGGGUACGGGCAGACUAGAGUGCGGUAGGGGAGAUUGGAAUUCCUGGUGUAGCGGUGGAAUGCGCAGAUAUCAGGAGGAACACCGAUGGCGAAGGCAGAUCUCUGGGCCGUAACUGACGCUGAGGAGCGAAAGGGUGGGGAGCAAACAGGCUUAGAUACCCUGGUAGUCCACCCCGUAAACGUUGGGAACUAGUUGUGGGGUCCUUUCCACGGAUUCCGUGACGCAGCUAACGCAUUAAGUUCCCCGCCUGGGGAGUACGGCCGCAAGGCUAAAACUCAAAGGAAUUGACGGGGACCCGCACAAGCGGCGGAGCAUGCGGAUUAAUUCGAUGCAACGCGAAGAACCUUACCAAGGCUUGACAUACACGAGAACGGGCCAGAAAUGGUCAACUCUUUGGACACUCGUGAACAGGUGGUGCAUGGUUGUCGUCAGCUCGUGUCGUGAGAUGUUGGGUUAAGUCCCGCAACGAGCGCAACCCUCGUUCUAUGUUGCCAGCACGUA